rnacentral:rRNA from 1 species
CAGCCGCCGCGGUAAUACGGAGGGUGCAAGCGUUACUCGGAAUCACUGGGCGUAAAGCGCGCGCAGGCGGCCUUUUAAGUUGGAUGUGAAAGCCUACGGCUCAACCGUAGAACUGCAUCCAAAACUAUCAGGCUAGAGUGUGGGAGAGGAAGAUGGAAUUAGUUGUGUAGGGGUAAAAUCCGUAGAGAUAACUAGGAAUACCAAAAGCGAAGGCAAUCUUCUGGAACAUUACUGACGCUGAGGCGCGAAAGCGUGGGGAGCAAACAGGAUUAGAUACCCUGGUAGUCCACGCCCUAAACGAUGAAUGUUAGUCGUCGGGUAGCUAGUCUAUUCGGUGAUGCAGCUAACGCAUUAAACAUUCCGCCUGGGGAGUACGGUCGCAAGAUUAAAACUCAAAGGAAUAGACGGGGACCCGCACAAGUGGUGGAGCAUGUGGUUUAAUUCGAAGAUACGCGAAGAACCUUACCUAGCCUUGACAUAUAUUAGAACACUUUAGAGAUAGAGUGGUGCCUUCGGGAGCUUUUAUACAGGUGCUGCACGGCUGUCGUCAGCUCGUGUCGUGAGAUGUUGGGUUAAGUCCCGCAACGAGCGCAACCCUCGUCACUAGUUACUAACGGUUCGGCCGAGGACUCUAGUGAGACUGCCUUCGUAAGGAGGAGGAAGGUGAGGACGACGUCAAGUCAUCAUGGCCCUUACGGCUAGGGCAACACACGUGCUACAAUGGCCAGGACAAUGA